rnacentral:tRNA from 1 species
UUAGCUGAAACCAAAAAGAGGUAUAUUAUUGUUAAUAAUAAAAAUGAGUCAAAGUAAUUCCAGUUAAA